AAUUUGUCUGCAAUUUUUCUGCAAUCAUCUAUCUGAUUUAUUCUUCAAGAGCAGAUGGUCGAGCCCAACCUGCCGCCCGGGGUCUAAAACCAAAUCGUUUUUCUAAAUUUCCAAAAAUUGGUUGCCGGCCACUUUUUUGACCAAAUUAGAUUAUUUUUAUUAUAAGCCUCGUGACAGACAAAAAGGCUUAGUCUUAAUAUCUUCGGUGACACAAUAGGGACAACACGACAUAUAUAGGUUAAACCAUCGUUUGAAUUUAUUGGGUAGACACAAACGUGAAUUUGAAUCCUUCAGGAUUGUAAAGGUAAGGAAUUCAACGCAAUACAUGGGUGAUCUGCCAAAAGGGAAUGAAUUCCGAGAAGACUUUCUAUGAGAAACCGGCCCCUACGUAACUGUUAUACACGUGAAGAAAACUCCACGUGGCCAAUCCAUCGGUCAGGUGUUAUCUACCAGUGUUCCGUGGUUUUAUCUAUUCGGCCAUUGGUAGGGUCUCGUGAAUCUCUCAGAGCGAGUAAAAUCGAUAGAACAGGAAAAUAUAGAAGAAUCGAAAAGUAUGUUGAUGUUUUGGACAAUUUUUGGAUGGCUUUAUUUUCUGGAGCGCAUCUCUUUUUUCUCCAGAUAUAUUCAUUAUUAUUGGAUUCUCAAAAUGGUUUUUCUGUUCCUUUGUUUCGUACCAAUACCAAAUAAUUUAUCCGAUUACUUCAUUCAGACCAUUGAUAAUGUUAAAACAUAUUAAAAUGAUGCGGAUAAAAACGCUGCUACGCGGAAAACCUCUUCGGAGUCUCAAGAAUUUUUGUUUAAAAUUUAAGAAAUAAGAAUAAAAUAUGAGUAAAAAUA